rnacentral:tRNA from 1 species
AGUCCCGUAGUGUAGCGGCCAAUCAUUCAGCCCUUUGGAGGCUGAGACGGCGGUUCGAAUCCGCCCGGGACUA